CGGUAGGAAUAAGGAUCGGCUAACUCCGUGCCAGCAGCCGCGGUAAUACGGAGGAUCCAAGCGUUAUCCGGAUUUAUUGGGUUUAAAGGGUGCGUAGGCGGCUUAUUAAGUCAGGGGUGAAAGGCGGUAGCUUAACUAUCGGAGUGCCCUUGAUACUGAUGAGCUUGAAUGCAGCUGAGGUAGGCGGAAUGUGACAAGUAGCGGUGAAAUGCAUAGAUAUGUCACAGAACACCGAUUGCGAAGGCAGCUUACUAAAGUGCGAUUGACGCUGAGGCACGAAAGCGUGGGGAUCAAACAGGAUUAGAUACCCUGGUAGUCCACGCCCUAAACGAUGAAUACUCGAUGUUGGCGAUAUACGGUCAGCGUCUAAGCGAAAGCG
rnacentral:rRNA from 1 species